rnacentral:tRNA from 1 species
CAGAAUAUAGCUAAGGUAGAAAAGCACCCCCCUUACACUGAGGAGCCACCCGUGCAAAUCGGGUUAUUCUGA